ACGAACGCUGGCGGCGUGCCUAACACAUGCAAGUCGAACGAGAAACCGGACUUCGGUCUGGGAGUAAAGUGGCGCACGGGUGAGUAACGCGUGAGUAACCUACCUUCGCUGUCUGGGAUAACGCCGGGAAACUGGCGCUAAUACCGGAUGAAGUCCCGGGUCGCAAGGCCACGGGACCAAAGCAUGGCCUCUGCUUGCUAAGCUAGCGCAGGAAAGAUGAGGCCUCGUGUCCCAUCAGCUAGUUGGUAAGGGUAAUGGCCUUACCAAGGCUACGACUGGGUAGCUGGCCUGAGAGGGACCGAGCCACACUGGAACUGAAACACGGUCCAGACUCCUACGGGAGGCAGCAGUGAGGAAUAUUGGACAAUGGGGGAAAGCCCUGAUCGCAGCGACGCCGCGUGAGGGAUGAAGCUCUUCGGGUUGUAAAGCCUCUGUCAGGAGGGACGAAGCGCUGGGAAGAACAUGGCUAUCCAUGGUAUUGACGGUACCAUUCAGAGGAAGCACCGGCUAACUCCUGUGCCAGCAGCCGCGGUAAUACAGGAGGGGGCUAGCGUUGUUCGGAAUUACUGGGCGUAAAGGCGUGCGUAGGUGGGUCAGUGUAAGUCUGAUGUGAAAGCCCUCGGCUUAACUGGGGAAUGGUCAUUGGAAACUAGCUGAGCUGGAGUUACCGGAGAGUGGAAGUGGAAUUCCUGGUGUAGAGGUGAAAUGCGUAGAUACAUUGGAGGAACAUCGGAGGCGAAAGGCGGACUCCUAGGCCGAAGCACUGACGCUGAGGCACGAAAGCGUGGGGAGCAAACAGGAUUAGAUACCCUGGUAGUCCACGCUGUAAACGAUGGAUACUAGGUGUUCGGAGGUAUUGAUCCCCUUCAGGUGCCGACGCUAACGCAUUAAGUAGCCCCGCCUGGGAAGUACGGUCGCAAGGACUAAAACUCAAAGGAAUAGACGGGGGCCCGCACAAGCGGUGGAGCAUGUGGUUUAAUUCGACGCAACGCGAAGAACCUUACCUGGACUUAGACAUCCGGGAGAAUGCCCUAGAAAUAGGGUAUUCCCUCAGGGACUGCCGAGUCAGGUGCUGCAUGGCUGUCGUCAGCUCGUGUCGUGAGGAUGUUGGGUUAAGUCCCGCAACGAGCGCAACCCUCGCCCUUAGUUGCUAUCAUUUAAGUUGAGCACUCUAGGGGACUGCCGGGAUAAGCCGGAGGAAGGUGGGGAUGACGUCAAGUCCUCAUGGCCCUUACUGCAUGGGCUACACACGUGCUACAAUGGGCGGUGACAGAGGGAUGCAAACCGGAGGGGCGACCUUCCAAUCUCAAAAAGCCGUCUCAGUUCGGAUUGGGGUCUGCAACUCGACUCCAUGAAGUGGGAAUCGCUAGUAAUCGCAGAUCAGCACGCUGCGGUGAAUACGUUCCCGGGCCUUGUACACACCGCCCGUCACACCAUGGAAGUUCAGCUGUACCGGAAGUCGGUGCGCUAACCCGCAAGGGGAGCAGCCGCCUACUGGUAUGGGUCCGACUGGGGUG
rnacentral:rRNA from 1 species